UAAACAAUUACCAAUAGUAUAUAAAAUUAUUCUUGUCUGCUAUUAUUAAGAGUAUCACUUUUCGUUCGCUAUGCAUUUCUCUCAUUCUGCGUCGAACUACCACCACCCAUGGCACCUCUUCUUCGUCGCUUCACCCAAUCUCCUUGAGUAGAAGUGCCGGCUCUUCAAUUUUCCACCACUGCCACCUUCUCCUCCUCUUCACACCACGUGCUACACUGACCUACUCAAUUGAUGUUCUUCGCUGUCGCCUCCUCCUCACUCUGCAUUCUCUGGCGCUGGUUCUUGCCACAAUCUCUGUCUUCGUUGCUGCCUCUACCACAUACUUUGAUCUCUGAUUUUAGUUUGCAUCUCAUAACCUUUUGCUCCUUUUCUCAUUUAAUUUCAAUCGCUUAACUGAAAAAUUCUCAUUUCCAGGGUUUGUGUGAUUUAAUUGAUAUUCUGAUCUGAUUGGGAAUUUUUUGAAAAUUUCAUGUUAAUUUUGUGAUUUUAUUAUGUGAAAUCUGGUUUGAUUCUCUUGUAAUGAUCAUGUAUUGCUAUGAAUCGAAAUGCAUGUUGAUGUGCUUCAAUAUUUGCUGCUUAACUUGAUAUCUGGCAGAAUCCAUUGCAAUUAGUAUGAUUCUCUGGUCUGUUAGCGCAUUAUUCUCUUGAUUAAUAGGUUUGAUAGAAGUAACCUGAUUCAUGGUGAUUCUUCAACGGUUGAACUCAAUAAUUCCAAUAUGGUAAAAUUCUAGUUUUCGUCUAGUUUUUGUCUUUUAUUAUUUCUCUCAAGAGGAUGAAAAGCUUCUCAGGCAUAUCAUUAAGUACGGUCAUGGAUGUUGGAGCUCUGUUCCUAAGCAAGCAGGUUAGUAUUCAUAAUAUGAUACAUGUUAAGGUUUGUUCUGUGUUGUUGUUAAUGUGGUUGUUGGUGAUAGGUUUGCAGAGGUGUGGUAAGAGUUGCAGACUUAGGUGGAUCUAUUACUUAAGGCCUGAUUUAAAGUUUGGAAUAUUUUUAAUUUUACUAUUUCCACUACAACCACAGUUUAGGUACCUAUUGCUUUGAUCAGAGAAGGAACUAACACAAUCUCCACUACUACUAUUCACAACAGGUUGGGGUGGGGGCUAGCUGGCUUAUCAGAAUCUAUUGACAACAAGGCUUCAUUUCAAGGACCUCAGCCUUAGUCAAAAGGUAUUCCCUGGGGUAUAUCAGGUUGACAUUUUUCUAUUCAGAUUAAGAGUAUCUUGUCUCAAAUUAAACUACCGCUUCAGGAAAAAUUAGAAAAAAACUAACAACUCCUUGCGAGAUCUCCAAGAGAACUACAGGCUGGUAGUUUCAAUAAUGAAUUUGUAGAGAAACAAGAUAUUUUGAAUUUACAUGCUUUUAAUUUAAUCAACAUGAUAUUGUAAAUCGUUCAACUCUUCUAUGCUUGUGAAACAGGCCUAUAAAAAAGAAUGGAAGUUGGGGUACAUUUUUGGCAUGAGCUAUGCAAACUAAAGUGCAUACUUUUAAUUAUUUAGUUGGCAUUAUGGCAACUUGGGAUUUUGCUGUAGCUACAUAAUUUUAUUGAAGGGCUCUUUACUUUCCUCAUAAAGAGUAGUGGUUGUGUUUGGUUUCUUCUUAAGGGCAAAGCCCUAAUACAGAGGGUGGUAGGACAAACCUAUUGAAAACUGACUUCAGACUCUAUUCCCUUUAUUUUUUUUUUUUGAAAACUGUUUUAAAUUUCUGAAAAUGUUUACUUUACUGAAACUUGUGACUAAUCUAGUGGAGUUAAAGAGUGUUAACUGCUUGUUGCUACACUUAGUCAAAAUCACAACUUCCUUUGUUGAAAUCCAGCAGAAGGAUCCUUGCUUUAGGUAAAUCCUCAGCACCUUUCCAAUUUUUAAUGCAUUUGUUUUAUUGAAAUAUUUUAUUUAUUUUAUUUUAUUUUUGAAAAAAUUGUUAUAAGUGUUGUUUAUUUGAAGAUUGUGAUUUUUUCUUUCAUGUAGAGUGGAAUCUGGUGAAUCUUCUCUCUUGGAGGAUAUUCUUUCUAUGUUUUAUUGCAUGGCAAUCAUGAGGUCAGCUUCUAUUUUUAUUAAUUCUGGAGUAGACAGUUACACACUAUAAUUAGGGUUCAAUUUAGUAUGUUUCUUAUUUUUAUUUUUAGAUAUCAGUUUAUCUCAUAAAUGUUUUAUACUGUGAUGGAUAAAAUUAAUUCGUAGAAUCCUUGUAGGUAAUUUCUCACCCUGUUUUUCUUCAAUUCAAUUAACACUGAUUUGAUUUCCUCUAUCAAUGCAGUUUAUAAUUUCUUUGGAAAAUUUUCAUUUGCUGAAGGAUGUUUUGCUGCCUAACUUGAUGGAGCUUUGUAGAAUGUGAAAAGCUAGUUAGCUUUCUAGCUGCAAAUAACUUGAAUCCGCUAUCUUAUCUAUCAUGAGUGUAUGAGGAGUUUUUAAUAGAGACUCAAACAUUAGAAUGAUUAACAGCAAAUGGUUAACAUGCAUAUAAACAAGAUCUAACAAAUUUAACUGUAUGGCAUGUGAUGGCAGGUGAGAUACAAGGGGCCUAUCAAAUAAAAAUUACUACAAUUGCUCUGGCUUUGUUGCUAGCCAGUAGGCACAAUAAAUUGGCAAGAGUAAACAUACUAGGCCAUCUAAUUAAGUCUAAUGUGGGAAUAACGACAAGAUCAAAAGCUAAAUCAGCUUCAAAUCAAUGGGUAAUGUUGCCACUUCCUACAAAGGGGGAAUUUAAGGUCCUAAUUAUUGUUGUUACAAAUGAUGAAUUUUUUCCCAGAGGAAGAAGCACUUUGGUGAAUGUUGAUGAUGUGAUUAUUGAAACAAGUCUUGGCAGAUCCAUCUAGACUAUGAUGACAGAGGAAAGAGAGAAAAGAGGGAUUGAUUUAUAGCCUAACUUGAUGUAAUAUAGUUAUAGACUUAUAGCAUUUUUGUUGUUUAGAUUUGUAACAUGAUUUAUUAUUUUUCAAGAGAAUUUUAUAUAUCAAUAUUUUGAGUUUAAUGAAAUAUCUCAUUUUGUAGUAA